UACAGAGACUGCAAGCGUUAUUCGGAUUCACUGGGCGUAAAGGGUGCGCAGGCGGCCGAGUGUGUGAGGCGUGAAAGCCCGGGGCUUAACCCCGGAAUUGCACCUCAAACUACACGGCUAGAGCAUUGGAGAGGGUAGCAGAAUUCAUGGUGUAGCAGUGAAAUGCGUAGAUAUCAUGAGGAAUACCAGAGGCGAAGGCGGCUACCUGGACAAUUGCUGACGCUCAGGCACGAAAGCUAGGGGAGCAAACGGG
rnacentral:rRNA from 1 species